UUUUGUUUUUGUUUUAUUUUUCCGCCGUUCGGACGUCUGUCGCGGAGACCCGUUAAAUUGUCGUUAGUUUUCAAAAAACGAAAUAAUACAUUGUUAUAAAAUAUUACAAGUUUAAAGUGCUUAUAAAUACUUGAAAAAAGGUGCUCAAAAUAUCAAAGAUUGAAAUAAAAAAAAACUCAAGUAAUUACAACGAAAGAAAAUGGCGGCUCAGCAAACAAUAAAGAGCAGUCGCGACAACAACAACAACAGCUAAGCAAGAAAUACAGCUCAAAAGAAACCAGCGAAGAAAAAACCGUCAACAUUUUCGUCUGCCUGAAAUAGGGAUGCAAAAACAUCGAUAUUCAGACGUUGGAGCAGACGACGAAGCAGCAGACGUUGGAGCAGACGUUGGAGCAGACGACGAAGCAGCAGACGUUGGAGCAGACGACGAAGCAGCAGACACGUGGUCUAAAACGCAAUACAGUGUUAAAAUUAUGAAAUAACAACUGCUGCGACUGGAACUUACUUGUUAUGUGCAGAAACCUGUCCAUUGUGCCGAGAGGAACCGCCCUAAUAUGUUUUACCUGUAUCAAACUGUAACAAUACUUAAUAAAAUGGAAAAAUGUGCACUUUUUCCCAAUUUACGUACCA